UACAGAGGUCCCGAGCGUUGUUCGGAUUCACUGGGCGUAAAGGGUGCGUAGGUGGCGAGGUAAGUCGGAUGUGAAAGUUCGGAGCUCAACUCCGAAAUGGCAUUGGAAACUACCUUGCUCGAGGGUUGGAGGGGGGACUGGAAUACUUGGUGUAGCAGUGAAAUGCGUAGAUAUCAAGUGGAACACCAGUGGCGAAGGCGGCAUCCUGGACCAAUAUUGACGCUGAGGAGCGAAAGCCAGGGGAGCAAACGGG
rnacentral:rRNA from 1 species